rnacentral:tRNA from 1 species
GCGGGUGUGGCGAAACUGGCAGACGCGCCAGGUUUAGGACCUGGUGGGGAAACCCUUGGAGGUUCGAGUCCUCUCACCCGCA